GCGACCGCAAAAUACCUUGCGACAGGGAAAAUAAUGAAUCUUCUGCUGGAAAAUCUCCGGUAGCUAUGGAAAUUUUGAAAGCCAUAAUUACUUAUGAUGGUAAUUUAUGGGCAGGUAGAAAAAAAUAGCAUCUCUCAGAAAUGAUUGUCUCUAAAGUGACAAGAUAUCUUAGUACUCAAAGGCCAAAUGUGACAACAGACAAAUUCCAAACUCUCCUCUUACGAUCACAUCACAUGGUACACAAUUAAAGGUCCUAAAGCUACUACACCUACACUAUAAAUAACUUCAAUUAUGACAUCUUGAGGGGAUUCUUGAAAUUUCACCACUCCUAUUUACCAUCUGGAACUUUUCUCUUUAACUCACUAUUUCCUAGAAUUUCCCCUAAACAUUCUCCUCAUUGUUACUUUACCUGCUACCACUAACCUAUCACAUGCACCAAGUUCGCAGGAGUGCUCAUCCUUCCUCCUACUCCUCUUACUAUCUCAUCCCUACUGUGCAAUAUCCUAAGUAACACAAGCUCUUUCCCCUACCUAAUCAUACUAGGAACCCUGAUGUAUCUACAUUCUUCAAAACAAGGCGGAAUUAGUUUAAUUCUGUGUGAAGAGGCUGAUGAUAGAACCAAGCUUCAUCAUUUAACAAUUCUCUAAAAGGUUAAUCCUGCAUCAUUUUUAUUUCUGCAUAUGGUGUUCAUCAUCUCAUCAGAUGUAAUUUCUUAAUUACUUUAAGCACGGUGCCAAAAUCCUAUUACUCUUAUUCCCAAAUUCCAGGUGGCCAAGGAAAAUGCUGAU
rnacentral:misc_RNA from 1 species